GUCGAUGGAACAAUGUAGGCAAGGG
rnacentral:snRNA from 1 species